UACAGAGGGGGCAAGCGUUGUUCGGAAUUACUGGGCGUAAAGGGCGCGUAGGCGGCCUUCUAAGUCGAACGUGAAAUCCCCGGGGUCAACCCGGGAACUGCGUCCGAUACUGUCGGGCUUGAGUACGGGAGAGGCGAGUGGAAUUCCUGGUGUAGCGGUGAAAUGCGCAGAUAUCAGGAGGAACACCGAUUGCGAAGGCAGCUCGCUGGAACGUUACUGACGCUGAGACGCGAAAGCGUGGGGAGCAAACAGG
rnacentral:rRNA from 1 species